CAAGCCUUCCAAGGUCUCGGCCUCUCGGCCAAGUCUUCUAAGGUCUCGGCCUCUCGGUCGUCUCGGCCCAGCCUUCCAAGGUCUCGGCCUCUCGGUCGUCUCGGCCCAGCCUUCCAAGGUCUCGGCCUCUCGGCCAAGCCUUCUAAGGUCUCGGCCUCUCGGUCGUCUCGGCCAAGCCUUCCAAGGUCUCGGCCUCUCGGCCAUACCGGUACACUUGCCCCCCAGGCUCAAGGGCAGAUGUGUUAGAUAUGUCCGAUGAGUCUUUAAUGAUGGGUGUCGGUCGGUUUCCCUUGAUCGUGCGGCUAUUCCAUUUCUCGAGGUGUGACGUGACCCUAGGUGUGAUCAAAUAAGUUGGAUUUGGGCGGUCGGCCUUUUAAUUGUGAUUUUAAUCGAACAAGAACAGGCGAUCGACCAUUUAAUUGUGAUUUUUAAUCGAACA
rnacentral:lncRNA from 1 species